rnacentral:rRNA from 1 species
GGCUCAGGACGAACGCUGGCGGCGUGCUUAACACAUGCAAGUCGAACGAUGAACCACUUCGGUGGGGAUUAGUGGCGAACGGGUGAGUAACACGUGGGCAAUCUGCCCUUCACUCUGGGACAAGCCCUGGAAACGGGGUCUAAUACCGGAUACAACACUCUCGGGCAUCCGAUGAGUGUGGAAAGCUCCGGCGGUGAAGGAUGAGCCCGCGGCCUAUCAGCUUGUUGGUGAGGUAACGGCUCACCAAGGCGACGACGGGUAGCCGGCCUGAGAGGGCGACCGGCCACACUGGGACUGAGACACGGCCCAGACUCCUACGGGAGGCAGCAGUGGGGAAUAUUGCACAAUGGGCGAAAGCCUGAUGCAGCGACGCCGCGUGAGGGAKGACGGCCUUCGGGUUGUAAACCUCUUUCAGCAGGGAAGAAGCGAAAGU